UCAGUAUCUGUACACUUAUUAAUGUCUGCCUUAUUGUUUAUUAACAUCUGAACUACUUCAGUAUGUCCUUUAUAACAAGCAAUGUACAGAGGUGAUGCUCCAGUAUCUCUACACUUAUUAAUGUCUACCUUAUUGUUUAUUAACAUCUGAACUACUUUAGUAUGUCCUUCCUGACAAGCAAUGUACAGAGGUGAUGCUCCACUAUCUGUACACUUAUUAAUGUCUGCCUUAUUGUUUAUUAACAUCUGAACUACUUCAGUAUGUCCUUUAUAACAAGCAAUGUACAGAGGUGAUUCUCCACUAUCUGUACACUUAUUAAUGUCUGCCUUAUUGUUUAUUAACAUCUGAACUACUUCAGUUUGUCCUUUAUAACAAGCAAUGUACAGAGGUGAUUCUCCAGUAUCUCUACACUUAUUAAUGUCUACCUUAUUGUUUAUUAACAUCUGAACUACUUCAGUUUGUCCUUCAUGACAAGCAAUGUACAGAGGUGAUUCUCCAGUAUCUCUACACUUAUUAAUGUCUACCUUAUUGUUUAUUAACAUCUGAACUACUUCAGUUUGUCCAUUCUGACAAGCAAUGUACAGAGGUGAUGUUCCAAUAUCUCUACACUUAUUAAUGUCUGCCUUAUUGUUUAUUAACAUCUUAACUACUUCAGUAUGUCCAUUCUGACAAGCAAUGUACAGAGGUGAUAUUCCAUCAGUAUCUGUACACUUAUUAACGUCUGCCUUAUUGUU